CUGAGUGUCUGUAUACAUACCACUUUCAAUUCCAUACAGUGUAGUUCAUUAAUACCAACAAUUGUGUAAUUUGAUUAAUUUCCGCUUCCUCUAUAAAGAGAAGCGUAUUUUCAGAUCCUGUUUGAUGGAAUAAUCGUCCAGGAAAGAUGGCGGGAAGAAGAUUACCAGAGACAGAUAUAAAGGGGUGGUGACGAAGGAUUACACUUUUGAACUUCAAAGCAUUUCAAACAAGAUAUAUUGCAAGUUAAUGUAAAGAUAAAGAUCACGAACAGUAAUCAAUCUCAUGACUCCUACAAGGAAUACAAACACGGAACUCUGGACAGAAGUAGGCUCAGGUACCUAGGAGAAGUAAACAUCCCCUGUUGACCGGUCACACCGGCCGUGAGCCUUAUAUCGUCACCGGGUUUACGGAGUAAUCCGUAGUCAAAGUCAUUGUGCAAAGGACUGAUAAAUUUAUCUCCCUAAUGUAUGUAAUAGACGGAAUAGACUCCGAGAAACCAACAUACGUCCACGGCGUCCAGUCGUCUGCUGGUUUCUCCUACGGUAUCAUGUAGCUCGAUUGUCUAGAUGUGAAUAGGACUUAAACUGUUGAGGUUUUUUUUAUGGGCGAAUUCAUAUUUCAUGUUGGUAGUUUUGAUGGUCAUGCCUGGGUAUAUCGUUAAUCCGGAUAACGCUACAAUAGUAGUGUCGCCUGUGUUAUUCAGCACCGUCAGCUGGGAGUGCCAUGGACUGCUCACAAAAGAAUGCCUUUGGUUGUCUUUGGAGGGAAUGUUACGGGUCUUUGCUAUAGAUACGAUGUUAUGCAUCUCUAUGCCAUCCCUUUUAUUCGUAGUAUCACCCAGCGUAUCACCUUUCGGCAAGACAACGCAAGGUCAAACACGUGUCGCUUCCAGCAAUAACAGAAUGCCGCCAUCUUGGAUUGCCCGCUGUUUCUCCUGAUAUUUCACCAACUUGAACAUGUAUGGUAUGAAUACUUCGACAAUGCAUAUAAUAGGACAUCAGACAAUGAGUUGACACUAUGUACCAUGCAUUAUACAGCAAUUGCUGGACAUAAAAAAUACUGACUCUUCUUAACCUUGACCUUAUUCCUGACUGUGAGAUUCUGUUGCCUGUGAUGUUUAUUGUGUUAGUCAUUACAUGUAUUUACAUUG